rnacentral:tRNA from 1 species
GGUCCUGUAGGAUAACGGUCAGUCCGAAGGUUUCUGAUUACUCAAUCCGAAUUCCUUAAGCCGCGGUUCGACUCCGCGCAGGACCU